rnacentral:rRNA from 1 species
CCUACGGGUGGCUGCAGUGGGGAAUAUUGGACAAUGGGGGCAACCCUGAUCCAGCAAUGCCGCGUGUGUGAAGAAGGCCUGCGGGUUGUAAAGCACUUUCAGUAGGGAAGAAAAGCUCGGGGCUAAUACCUCCGGGUCUUGACGUUACCUAAAGAAGAAGCACCGGCUAACUCCGUGCCAGCAGCCGCGGUCAUACGGAGGGUGCGAGUGUUAAUCGGACUUACUGGGCGUAAAGCGCACGUAGGAGGUUAAAGCCCGGGGCUUAACCUGGGAACUGCAUUCGAUACUGCCAGGCUAGAGUAUGGGAGAGGGAAGCGGAAUGUCAGGUGUAGCGGUGAAAUGCGUAGAUAUCGGAAGGAACACCAAUGGCGAAGGCAGCUUCCUGGCCCAAUACUGACGCUGAGGUGCGAAAGCGUGGGGAUCAAACAGGAUUAGAUACCCUUGUAGUC